UGAAAAAAGCAGUACUACUCGUCGUCCAGUAACUCCUAUCACAUCUGAUGAUGAUGACGCUGCGGAAGCAGGUCCAUCAAAAGAAGUAUGGAGCAGCAGAAGUGGGACUUCUGUAAGACAUCACCACAAAAAACCUGUGGCCGAAAAGAAAGCAAGGUCUGAUGUCCAGGGCCAACCACAGCAGGCUACCCCGCCACGAAGAUUAUCGACAGUAUGUUCUGUCCCCCCACUCCAAAUUUUGGACACACCUCCAAGACGUCAUCCACACUCCCCUCAUCUUGAUUCUUCUAGUCCUGGUAACAGCAACCC